UUGGAGGGCAAGUCUGGUGCCAGCAGCCGCGGUAAUUCCAGCUCCAAUAGCGUAUAUUAAAGUUGCUGCAGUUAAAAAGCUCGUAGUUGAAUUUCGGGACCAAUAUGUCGGUCGUGCCUCGGUACGUACUGGCAUCGUUGGUUUCUCCCUUCUGACGAACCAUGAUGUCAUUCAUUUGGUGUCGUGGGGAAUCAGGACUGUUACUUUGAAAAAAUUAGAGUGUUUAAAGCAGGCUCACGCUUGAAUACAUUAGCAUGGAAUAAUGAAAUAGGACGUUCGAUCUUAUUUUGUUGGUUUCUAAGAUUGACGUAAUGAUUAAUAGGGAUAGUUGGGGGCAUUAGUAUUCAAUUGUCAGAGGUGAAAUUCUUGGAUUUAUUGAAGACUAACUACUGCGAAAGCAUUUGCCAAGGAUGUUUUCAUUAAUCAAGAACGAAAGUUAGGGGAUCGAAGACGAUCAGAUACCGUCGUAGUCUUAACCAUAAACUAUGCCGACUAGGGAUCGGAUGAUGUUAAUUUUUUAAUGACUCAUUCGGCGCCUUACGGGAAAC
rnacentral:rRNA from 1 species